GAUGAACGCUAGCUACAGGCUUAACACAUGCAAGUCGAGGGGUAACGAGAGGAAAGCUUGCUCUCCUUGUCGACGACCGGCGCACGGGUGAGUAACGCGUAUCCAACCUGCCCCCAACUAGGGAAUAACCUUGCGAAAGUAAGACUAAUACCCUAUAAUUUCCUCAGAUGUCAUCUGACGAGGAAUAAAGAUUUAUCGGUUGUGGAUGGGGAUGCGUCUGAUUAGCUUGUUGGCGGGGUAACGGCCCACCAAGGCAACGAGCAGUAGGGGUUCUGAUAGGACGGUCCCCCACAUUGGAACUGAGACACGGUCCAAACUCCUACGGGAGGCAGCAGUGAGGAAGAUUGGUCAAUGGGCGGAAGCCUGAACCAGCCAAGUAGCGUGCAGGAUGACGGCCCUAUGGGUUGUAAACUGCUUUUAUAGUAGAAUAAAGUGAUCCACGUGUGGAUUUUUGUAUGUAUACUAUGAAUAAGGAUCGGCUAACUCCGUGCCAGCAGCCGCAGUAA
rnacentral:rRNA from 1 species